rnacentral:lncRNA from 1 species
GUGAAGUAUACAUUUCUACAGACUGUGAUGGUUAACUUUGUGUUAACUUGGCUGCUUUAAGAAUGUCCAGAUAGCUGGUAAAUUAGUAUUUCUGGGUAUGUCUGUGAGGGCAUUUCUGGAAGAGAUUAGCAUUGGAAUCAGUAGAUUGGGUGAAGGAGACCUGCCCUUAUCAAGAUCAAGAGCAGGGCGGUACCAACCAUCCUGAAAUACCCCUAUUGCUCCGUCCUUCUGGCAAACCAGUGUGAGGUCUUUGAUAUUUUUCAAGUCUCAGUGACAUAUCUUUGACUUGAGGCACCAUGGUAUGGCAAGCAAUUCCCAUUCUUCCCAGGAACAACUCCCAUGCCAUCUCUUUAUCCACUAGUCUGGCCCAGCAGGCCAGUUUUCUUAUUGAUUUCUUUUUUUGUUGUUGUUAAGAUUCUUUUUUUUUUUUUUUAUUUUCAUUCCAGUACGAAGGAACAAGCCCCACUUGAGGCUGGCAGGAAGAGCCUCUCUUGGUUUCCAUGACAAAGUAUAGCCACUGCUGGUUUACAUUGCCCUUUGGAGGUGCUGCCAAAGGAAGCGGCAUAUCCAAGGGGAGAUGUUAUCUUGGCCACCUCUUCCUUCCGGCACCUGGUUAGCACCCCAUUCCCUUCUUUCCCAUGAAAGGGAGGCCCCUUUAUCCAGUUUUUGUCUCUAUGCCUUCAUCUUAAUUUGAUGGGCCUCUCAUCUUAUUAACUGUUUUUCUAAAUGUUCCUAUAGUGGUUUACCUUUUAAAUUGUGGUCUUUAAAGAAAAAAAAAAAAGCAACCUUAACACUGGAAGAAAACUAUUAGCUGUUGUGACUGAUACGGUUUGACUGUGUCCUCAGCCAGAUCUCAAACUGUAGCUCCCAUAAUUCCUACAUGUCAUGGGAGGGACCCGGUGGUAGGUAAUUGAAUCAUGAGGGCAUGACUUUCCCGUGCUAUUCUCAUAACAGUGAAUAAGUCUCAAGAGAUCUGAUGGUUUUACAAAGGGCAGUUCCUCUGCACACACUCUCUAAGUCAAGUCAAGACAUGACUUAGCACCAACUUUGCCUUCCACUAUGAUUGUGAGGCCUCUCAGACAUGUGGGACUGUGAGCCAACUAAACCUCUUUCCUUUUGAAAUUACCCAGUCUCGGGUAUGUCUUUUUUAGCAGCAUGAGAAUAGACAAAUACAGUGCCCACAGUAAUGCCAGUGAUAAUGAUAUUAGUUAUAACCUGGUAGCCAUCAUCUACUGAGCAUCUCUGAUGAGUAAAGCAUUUGAAAUACUUUAUCUCACUUGACCGUCUUAUCAGUCCUGGGAGGCAAAUACAAUUAUAAUUACUAUUUUACUAAUGAGGAAAUUCAGGCUUAGGGAGAUUAUAUAACUUAUAAUAAUGUAUGUAUUCCACAAAUAUAUAUUGGCUGUCUGCAUGCUCCUAGCAUAGUGCUGGGUCUACCACCCUGAGCAUAUAUCCAUGAAGUAUGGAGUCUGUACCCCAGUAAGGUAGACAGAUAAUACACAAACAACAAUAAAACCACGUGAUUCCAAAGUGGGAUAAGUGCUCAGGAGGCAAAGGACAGGGUGCUGUGAAGAACAGUAAGAGGCUACAAUUAAUACAUGGCUGUCUGGCUCCAAGUUUGUCUAAA